rnacentral:lncRNA from 1 species
AUUUUUUUUCUUGGAUUUCGCACCCUCCUCUUUUUCUUUUUUUUCUCUUCUUUUUGAUAAUGCCCCAGUUGGCUGUUCUGCUGAUUCUCGAGAUGCAGCUGAGUGUGAUUUUCUUUUCUCGCUCAAGAAGUCGGGAAAUCUCGUCAGGAAUCCCUUCAACAUCAUCUUCUUCCGCUUCGAAUACAGGGAAUUCAAAAUUGGGAGAUGACGUCCGAUCAUUAUG